UGUGGGAGGGGGCUUGCCCCCGAUGGCAGUGUGUCAGUCAGCAACUCUGAUACUGAUACACCGCUAUCGGGGCAAGCCCCCUCCCACA
rnacentral:misc_RNA from 1 species